rnacentral:rRNA from 3 species
UUAAAUUGAAGAGUUUGAUCAUGGCUCAGAUUGAACGCUGGCGGCAGGCCUAACACAUGCAAGUCGAACGGUAACAGGAAACAGCUUGCUGUUUCGCUGACGAGUGGCGGACGGGUGAGUAAUGUC